GCUGGUGUAGCUCAAUUGGUAGAGCAGCUGAUUUGUAAUCAGCAGGUCGCGGGUUCGAGUCCCAUCACCAGCUCCA
rnacentral:tRNA from 15 species